rnacentral:misc_RNA from 1 species
GUCUAGAUAGAAAGAGGAUAUUAAUAAUUCAAACAGUUAAUCACACCAGAGCACAAUUUGUGAAUCGCUGCAAUCUGCAUCAAAGAGCACACUUCCAAACACGUUUUUUUCCGAAAUUGAAUUUGAUCUCGGUUCAACUACUUUCAAAUGUUUCUUUAAAGCAAACCACUGUUCAUUGUCACAUGGAAUUGAAUGUCAACUGCCUUUUGUGAAU